UUAAAGAUAAACAUGCAAAUCAAAGAUAACACUAAGUUGAUGAUAAAUUAAAACAUAUAUAACAUGAUUAAGAGUUGUACAUAUUUAUGAAUGAGCUACCCCUAAUCCCAACAACAAAAGAUUUAGCCACUCAUUGUCAUGGUGGUAAACUUACAAAUGUGGAAAGAGGAACAAAGAGUGCACAUCAAUCCCUUGAUCUCUCAAGUUGGAUGGAUCCACCUUCUCUUGCCUAUGACCUAAGCUUAAUUCUAAUUUAAUUGCUCUGUCUUUGAACUCUCUC
rnacentral:lncRNA from 1 species